UAUUGCUUUUUAACGUGAUCAGCAGUCUUGUUCUCGUAGGCUGGUUGCCUAGAACGAUAGGGAAUAUGUUUUAGCUUGUCACGGGUCCUUUUUUCAGGACCUUUUCCUCGGUUUUGGCAAAAGUAAAAAAAAAAAACGCUUGGGAACGGGGCUAAUGGUUUUAACGACAUGUGUAAUUCUAAGCUUUAUUAAAUGAACUACCCUUUUAGUUUUAUCCUUUCGCGGUCAUCGCGGCAUUGGAGGGCGUGUGUGUGUGUGUGUAUGUGUCUCGUUCCACUGGAAAUCAAACGAACAAUUACGACCAGAUUGAAGGCAGACUAAGACUAAUGUGUUUAAAAAAACCGUUCCCUGUCUAAGCUAAACGUAGGCUUUUGGGUGGCAUUUAGCUGAGAUUAAAGUAAAGCGCCCCUCGGUGUUAAUUGCUCGACUCUUUUUUAAGCUUAAACAUUGAACUAAAAAGGCAAAUGAGUGGCAAUUCUGCUCUAUCUACUGACGUUUGCUUUUCGGUCUUCCCCAUUCGCGUCCACGCGCAAUUCCGUCCAAUGCUCAUCCAUUCCCGGAUCCCACACACUGGCGACAAGUUUUGGUGGAUCUCAAAGUUCGGUGUCUUUCAUGUAAUAAUGUGAUCUUCUUUUAUUUCCAAUUUAAACAAACAAACAAAAAAAGCGUAUUCUCUCGGUUUGGGUUUUGCUUUAAAUUAGGUUGUUGCCCUCCUGUUGGUACAAAUCGUUUAAACGCACCGUAUGUGUGUCUGUGUGUGUAUGUAGGUACACACGUAUCCACUGUGUGUAUAUGUAUGUGUAUUAGUGUGUGUUUGUGUGUGUGUAUUUUUUAAUGUAAAGUAUAUGCGAGCGGGGGACAGUGCACACUCUCCCGAACUACCGCACCUUAUACACAAUAUCUUGUAGACUUUUAGUAGCAAAUCUUUAAUAACAGCGAAAACCCCCCGACGACCAACGUAUGUGCGUCCACCCCCUUUAUCCCCUCUUUAGUGUGUAGUGUGUUUAAUGUAUAUUUAUUUAAAACAAAGCAAAAGAAAAACAAACGAAAACCUCUAGCAACUUACCACCGGAUGUGUCGUGUGGGGAGCGUUUCUCCUCCACCACAACGCAAAGAUCUCUUAUGUGAACGCACCCGGCUAUUAUGAUGGUGUAGCGGAGGACGGGUCUCUUUUGUUGCGAUGAUGAUGAUGAUGAUGAUGAUGAUGGAAAACGAUGAUCUGGGGUUACACGUGUUUAUUCCACCGGUAGGCUAAUAGAUGAAAAGCUUUGUAUGAAGAUAUCCGUUCUUGCAACACAAGUUCAGUGCGGCGAAAAGGGAAAAGGAAGGAGCAGUAGUGUCUCUCACCUUCCCCGACAGCUUGCUGAAGACUGCAGUCGAUUUAAAUCAGCACAACUACUGCUGGGAAAAGCUACUUUGUUGUAGCUUAACCUUUUUAGUAGAGAUCACCAUUCAUUCAGGGGCUCAGGAAAGUACGGCUCUCCCUCCACGCCUAGGGAAACGAUCCUCGCUAGGAUCGCUAGCUUUGCUGGGCGUGUGUGGAUUCGUAUUCGUUUUUACUUGGCCUCUUUUUUUUGGCACAUUUGUUUUUGGCAUUUGAAACUGUUUGGAUUUGGUGUUCGGUAGCGAGAAAACAGCGAAAUUAAUGUGUAUGUAGUACGUACCGCCACAUUACCCAAUUAACCGAAAAUAGACGCAAUCCAGGAUGAUGAGAAUUGGACACACGUGGACGUGAAGCGUUAACAUGCGUAGGGAUGGGAAUGAAAUGUAAACGCUAUCAAGAGUGAAAUACGGCGUGGAAUAGAAUUUUCAAAUUAGAAUGUGAACAAUUGAUCCUCUCUCAUUGCAAGUUACCAUAGCCACGAACCAUCACUUUCCCAUUGGAUUGAUCGUCAAACAUGAUCGCCCAACACGACUAGAGCGACACCGCGAUCCGUUUGUUUAAUCAAAAAAUCUUAUCUGAUCAUCUGCGAAAGGACAUCUUACUAACAACGUCUUCACGAAGAAUGUGCCUCUAUGGUGCUAUUCCACGAUCAGUCUGCACACUGUUUCCCUCUGUCUCGUGACACGUGUACUACAACGGACAAACGACACAGCUAAAGUAAAAGCUAUUGUUUUUAUGUAAGGCUUAUGUGUCUUAUAAGCAAAAAUACACAUCCUUCACCCCCCCUCCCCACCCUUUCUAGCUGUGUAAACAACACACACAGGAACCGUUUAUUUUUUAAGCUACUUGCAAGCAUAAAACUGAUCAACUCAUCAUUAUUAUUAGCAUAAUUUGGUGGGACACCACAUUUGUUGCACAAUUUUUGUCCUUUAUUUUAAACUUCCCCUCUUGUUGUCGCCCUCCUUUGUCUGACUAACAGCUGUCCUCGUAACGAAACGCAAAAGGAAGAAAUCCUAAAUCGUACUCCUCGAUACCAUAAUACGGCUAAUUGUGAUUUUGUGUUUUUAAUGUUAGGCUUUUCCGUUUAAACUCCCUAAAAUGCUUUCCCUCACUCUACACCCAUACGCACACGGCCCUUCCCCAUCCCUCAUUAAUUUUAGCGUCGUGUUGUGAGUGUGUUUCGUUUCACAUGCGUUAAAGUGCGUUCAUAUGUAGCUUCCUUUCUAAUUCUCUUUUUUUUUAAAGGCCAAUGUAAUAGUCAUUUAUAACCGUUAAACACUUAUUGAGAAUAAAUAUAUCUAUAUUAUAUACACACAAAUGAAGCAUGUAAAAACAACGGGUGAGCCUUUAAAAUGAUGUUGAAAUAUGGUAAUGUGUUGCAAAAAGAGAAAGAAAGAAAGAAACAUAAACAAAUUUUAAUCGCUUCUUUGCAAGUGAUCGCGAUCGUGUGCUCGAUCGUGCCGCGAAAGGACCCAUUAUUUCUUUGUUUUGUUUUUUGUUUGUUUUGCUGUGUGUACAAGCAACCAAAUAUUUGUAAAGUACACACAGAAAAUGCACGAACGCGUGCCACGAUUGGAAAAACUGCCGCGGACUUGGGGUGGUGGCCGCGUGGUAAAUGUUUAUUUAAUUCGGAAAGGCAAAGCAACUGUGCGUGUUCCCUUACAAAAGGCACAAAAGUGCAAACAUUCGUGAAUGGUAAAUAGUUGUAAAUGUAGCACGCACAAACACACACACACGCAAGUCAUUCAAACGGAGCAAACAAACAAACAAACAAACAUAACCUUCUUGGGAGCUUACUUCUUACUUGCCUUAGUAGCCUGCACCUUUUGAUGUGGAAUCGGAGAGAGAGAGAGAGAGAGAGAAAGUGCACAGAAUGCAUACAAGCAUUUGAUGAUGCUUUAUGCUAGCCGUUUUCUCGCUGAUGGUCGGUCCUCAUGGACGUAUUGGAUUCGUUCCGCAUAAUUAAGUGCCGCCAGCGUGUUCGGUUGGGACGGUCCGUGCAAUAGUAAUGAGUCACAGACGUCGCGGCGCACCAGAGUCUAUGGUGCAAUUGGGGCUGCAGCAGAUGCAGCGCGGGUGCUGCUUUACGUGCCUCUCUAGCUAUCCCCCUUACGCUGAAAGUCCUCCCCCCCCUCCCGAGCGGUUGCAAUUCUGGUGCGGUGGGUGUGGUGCAUGAUGAUGAUAAAAUGCAGGUCAUUCUUUUAGUUAGAGUCCGAUAAAACCCCCGACCCCGACGACAAUGGGGGAGUUGGAGUUGGUUGUAAGCGGCAAUCCUGGGCAUUAAAUCAUUACACUCGAUGCAUCUCCAAUAUGACGGCAAGCCGAGGAAACGCCGAAGGAAAUGAAACGUAAAGUACAAAAUCAUGUUCUGUUCGUGCACACACGGCGGGGGUUCGUUGCUUAGUUUGUUUUGUUUUUUGUUUAAUUCAAUUUCCUUUCCGAUUGCAGAGGGAUGAUGUUUGCCUGCUCUGGGCUGGGAGUUGCACUUCCGGCUGGUGCAACUGCAAACGGGGAAACAAUUCCGACGGAAGGGACACAGUUGGUCGCUGAGGAAGGCAAAGCGGAAGAGGAAGAAAUGGAGUUAAAAACUGGAAAAAAAGAACGGUAAAUGUGAUAAGAACACCCACAAAAAAAAAAAAACAGGAAAGAGUGGCCUGUAUGUCCCGGAAGUGUGCAAUGAUAUUGAAAUUCCAAUCAUUCCGGUGCAACUUUGCUGGUGUUUAUCUUUCGGUUUCAGCUGUUUUAUUUGCUCCGAAACCACCGAUUUGUAAUGUAGGAGGAGAAGGAUAUGGAGAAUGGGCACAAAUUCCUGGUUCGAUUACUUCUGUCCUAUCCGCCAUCUUGACUGACCGUGCACAGAAGUCUAGGACUGACAUCAUUUUCAAACUCAUUUCUGUUGUCACGGUACACUAAAAAUGCAUGAAAGCUCAUCAUAGUAGGUAGAUUCGGUCGCAGGACAGCGAGAUACUUUAACAUUAUCGUAAUAGGCGACGGCCCAAUGUUUAUAUUGACAGGGAAGCGUGACACGAUUGACAGGUUGUUUUGUAAAUCAUUUAGGGCGAAGAAGACGAAAAAAAUACGAAUUUGACCAACAAUCAACGACCCUUGAAUCGUUUUGUCUACCCAUUUACACACACACACACACACCCGUGGCCUGGAAAGGAAGAUGAACCUUUUUGUGUGAACCGUAGACAAGAACCGGUCGUGGAAGUGUGUUCUUCCCGUGUGGCACGUGCUCUUCCCUACGCAAGGAAGGGGGUCGCUGCGGGGUUGCUUGAGGCGGAAGUAAACGAAAACCAAUUUCGCGUCAACUUCCUGGUGCUGUGUACUGUGUACCGCUUUAUCUGGUAUUUGUUAUCCGGAAAACAAGUCCAAGUCGUUGCCGGUGAAGAAGUAGGCCAGUCGUGUGUCUGUCACCACGGAACAUUUGUGGGGGUUUGCUGCAUAUCGAAGGAAAUUAUUCUUGGGAGAGAGAGAGCUGAUGAGCUGGAGAAAUGGUGUUUAAUUAAGGAUGUGCAUGAGCCCUUAAUCUGGAACUGAAUUUUACUUACGGUUUUGGAGACUUUCUCAGACAUUUUUUAGUUCCUCAAACAUCCUGAAACAUAGCAAGAAUCAUUGGAGUAACGUCCUUUAUGAUACAAGUGUUAGUGAAAUAGUAGUGAAUUAAGCAGACAGAAUCCCCCUCCAAUAUCCUUAUUUCGAUGACUAUUCACUAUCGGUGGCUUCAAACUGGGACUUCCUGGGGUUGCUGUGAAGCUGGAAAAGCCAUUUUUCAUGGCCUGCUACUACUGGUGACUGACACAUCUGUGUUGGCCUGUUGUCAUCCUGUUGCCUGUACGCAGUUGCAGUCACUCGUGUCAUUCGUGUGAUAAAUAUUCCAGUCACUCAAAUUAGGCGUAGUACAAGUAUCCUCCAAGGAUAAUGCGUAAGACACCGUAAGGGAGAAAGAAAUUCACGGAAGUUUCUGUGGACUGGACGGAUCAUCAUCAUGAUGUGUACCGGCAGAGAGAUAGAGAGGAAGAGGACGCAGAAUGUUGACGGGUACAUGUUGCUUCCGCUGUUUGCAAGGCUCUCCGACUUCUCCGAGUGUUAACGGGGAAAAUCGAUAGUGCCGGAUGAAAGUUUGCCGGCUUGUUGCUCGCGGACAAUUUUGCGGGCUCCCCCCACUACCAGAACGUCCUUCGGCAUGACGUUUAUGCGUUUUUGCUUCCAUUUCAUCGCCUACUUCGCUCUUCCACUCCCACCGAACGGGGUGAUGUAGCUACCGAUUUUUAUAUGGUUGCCUUUUUUUUCCAUCCGCCUACCAUCACCACCGUCUCGUGCUUGUUUGGUGGCUCUUCUGCUGCAUCUGUGUCAUUGCCGAUUUGUGUUGUUGUCUCCCCAAUCGGAUCGGUUUUGUCCACGCGGAACUAAUGCAAACCCAACGUGGUAGGCCACACCCAAGCGCACUAUUUUCUUUUUUUUUGUUUCACCCCAAACGGGGGACAUAUGGUGCCGUGCUCCAACCGUGCGUGCGUGCGUGUGUUGUCAUCGGUAUGUGUCGCUUUCGCCUGAUUCGAGCAUCGCGCACACAGGCGAAACCUCCGCACGAGUCCUUUCGCGUGAAGGGAAAAAGGAUCUAAAGGGAAGCGAAGGGUGAUGAAUAAUUCAUGGCGCAUGAUAAUAUUAUAGGGCACGAGAGUGGGAGAGAGAGGGCGGGGGUGGGGAGGUCAUUGCUGCCUUCUGCGCCCGCAAAACGGUAGCGCAAAAAUGUGGGGAAGUAUUCGAAAUUCGAGUAAAAAAGCAAGACGCACUGAUGACGAAGUGACUUGUUUUUGUGUUUCUUGUUGCAGGCAGAACACAUCUCCCGAAGGAGUACUAAUCUGGGCUUAAGACGUAUUGGAAGCAGCAUGGAGAACUUCCCUUGGAAAAACAGUGACCACGAAAUGUCAGUUUCAAGCAAAUUUCGGUUUUGCCUCACAGAAGUUGCAACCGGCAAAACGACCACAUGGAAAAACAAAAUAAGUAUCCCUCACUCAUCCCUUGCCGCCUCCAGGAAGGGCCACAUAAUGGGAUGGUGGGGAUGGCGAUGAGGAGUGUCCUCUUACCUACACCAACCUGGGAUGGCUGGCUUCGCUGGCUGGCCACGUGUACAGUCCAGAUGGCUGACUGGGUGUCGGUUUUGCGCCCCUUUUCGCGCGCUGUCGCUCGUACUGCGCAGACUCACGCCCCAGCGCUGUCGCCACCGUCGGGGCACGUUGGUCUGUGUGUGUUUCCGGCUUUUCCACGAUGCCGGUUUCGGUGGGGAGGGAGGCUGUCGCGGGAUGCGUUUUAGUGACGUGUCUGGACGAUCGACCCCGAAGAUAAGACCCGCGGGGGAUUGGGUCUCUCUCUCUCUCUCUCUCGCUCUUUUACGCGUGAAGUAGACUAGCUAUUGGGGAAUGGGGAUGCGGAUACUUCCAGCACACACCCCUGUCGUCGUUUGUCUGUCUGGUCUGACCCGGGUCCGAGGAGGGGGGUUACGGGUAGCUUGUCUUGUCUGUUCGUUUCUCCAAUCGCCCAAUUGCUUCGGAAAAGGGUGCAUGGGGUUUGGCACGUGCGGGGAAAGGAGGGGGGUUGCAAAAUUCAAUCCAGAAUUAGUGUGAAGUUCAACGGGAAGUACUUGGUCGUGUGUGCGUGGUGCGUUACUGCUGCCUUGCGCAAGCACCCAGCAGGAAAUGCAACUACUUUUUGGGUAGUGGUAGUGGUGUGUGUGUGAGAGUUGAAAUGUGUUUGUUUGUUCACAAGUUUUACAUCACAUUAAGGUAAUAAAAAUGAGAUGAUGAAAUUUGCAAUUCAAACGACACUCACAGACACACACGCACACCGUGUGUGCGCGGCUGUAUACUGGAAUUGCACUGCGGAUGUACUUUUUUGGAUAAUAAUUUCAUUUUUAAUGUUUUUGAUAUAUUUGUAAUGUUUUUGUUUGUUUUUGUUUUUGAUAUAUUUGUAUUUGCAUCGUUUGCAUCGAAAAAAGGCGUAUUAAAUUGUACAUUGAUUAUUUUUCA